UUGACCUCAAAUCAGGUAGGACUACCCGCUGAACUUAAGCAUAUCAAUAAGCGGAGGAAAAGAAACUAACAAGGAUUCCCCUAGUAACUGCGAGUGAAGCGGGAAAAGCUCAAAUUUAAAAUCUGAUGGUCCUUGUGGCUAUCCGAGUUGUAAUCUAGAGAAGUGCUAUCCGCGCUGGACCGUGUACAAGUCUCCUGGAACGGAGCGUCAUAGAGGGUGAGAAUCCCGUCUUUGACACGGACUACCAGGGCUUAUGUGAUGCGCUCUCAAAGAGUCGAGUUGUUUGGGAAUGCAGCUCUAAAUGGGUGGUAAAUUCCAUCUAAAGCUAAAUAUUGGCGAGAGACCGAUAGCGAACAAGUACCGUGAGGGAAAGAUGAAAAGAACUUUGGAAAGAGAGUUAAACAGUACGUGAAAUUGUUGAAAGGGAAACGCUUGAAGUCAGUCACGUUGGCCAGGGAUCAACCUUGCUUUUGCUUGGCGUACUUUCUGGUUAACGGGUCAGCAUCAAUUUU
rnacentral:rRNA from 1 species